rnacentral:rRNA from 1 species
GACGAACGCUGGCGGCGUGCUUAACACAUGCAAGUCGAACGGAAAGGCCCUGCUUGCAGGGUACUCGAGUGGCGAACGGGUGAGUAACACGUGGGUGAUCUGCCCUGCACUUCGGGAUAAGCCUGGGAAACUGGGUCUAAUACCGGAUAGGAGCCAUUUUUAGUGUGAUGGUUGGAAAGUUUUUUCGGUGUAGGAUGAGCUCGCGGCCUAUCAGCUUGUUGGUGGGGUAAUGGCCUACCAAGGCGGCGACGGGUAGCCGGCCUGAGAGGGUGGACGGCCACAUUGGGACUGAGAUACGGCCCAGACUCCUACGGGAGGCAGCAGUGGGGAGUAUUGCACAAUGGGCGCAAGCCUGAUGCAGCGACGCCGCGUGGGGGAUGACGGCCUUCGGGUUGUAAACUCCUUUCGCUAGGGACGAAGCUUUUUGUGACGGUACCUAGAUAAGAAGCACCGGCUAACUACGUG